rnacentral:tRNA from 1 species
UCCCUGAUGGUCCAGUGGUUAGGACUUCGUUCUUUCACUGCUGAACACCCAGGUUUGAUCCCUGGUUGAGGGA